UAAAUACUUAUAGAGAAAUGUGAAAGUAAGAAUAAAUGUUCAUGAAUGUCUACAUUUAUUAAUUAAUGGAAUAGAAAAAAUACUGCAUUAAUAAGUUUAGAUUGUGUGAUUAUCAUUGUUAAAAAGCCAAAAUGGUGACUAGAUGAGUUUCGAGGGAGAUUAUGAUUUUCCUAAAUGAUCAUUAGCAGCAAUUCAUAUGAUUCAUGUUUACUACAAACUAGAGUUUAAUAAUCAGUAAUUAACUGAAAAUUCGAGAUGAGAAACAAAGCAAGGACAUUAAGAGUAAUAUUUCACUGAUACCAAUGUGCACCAAGUGUUUUGGAUAUCUAGAGUUCUAAUUUGCGGCUACUAUACACCAUGGAAAAAAUAUUGAAGUUUAAAGGAGGUGCUAAAAGGGAAUCAUUAUCAGAUUCAUAAAGAUGAAGAGACGUUGAAAAAUUGUGCAACGGCGUAUGGCUAAUGAUAUUGAUAUUGAAGAGACAAGAGGAGUUAAGCUAUAUCCUUCAGUUAAUUUUUUUUUCGGUACUCUUUACCUUUCUCCAGUGUUGAAAAAACUAGAGCACGAAAAAAGAUAAGACAUUCUCCGACAGGGACAGUCCUGGAACGGUAGCUUCGUGAUAAAUCGACUGGAAGACACGAUAGAAUCGAACGGAUGUACGGGUAAAUCGCUAUUCCGGGAAAAUUCAAUGGCUUGAAGGAAAUUUCUCUUUCCUUCUUUUAACUUUAGCAAUGAUGUUCCAAGUUGUCAUUGCUAGCAAAAAUGGUAGAACUUGAAAUGUCUCGUUUUGAGGAACAAACACGUCGACUCUCAAGCAACGGGUUGAAUUACAUACUCGUGAAUAGAAACGGAAACUCCCUUUAUUCUGACCCAACUGGUCUCUUCGUAUACUUUAGCUGGUACUUGUAGAACAACCGUAGAGACGAAGAGGUGGAGAUAGAAAGAGUAAUACUAAGGGGAAGCAAAAAAGCAGUAGACAAAUGAAACCAAAAUAUUGGGACAAGUUUGACAAAGCUCUUUGAAUUUAUUUGACGAUACCAUUGUAUGCCUGUCUGAACACCCACACUACUCAGUGAAUCCUACAUCUGAUACAAUAGGAAUGGUAUCGAUUUCAUUUUGAUUAACAUUGCAUUCGUUGGUUGUCUCCAAGGAAAAGAAGACUCUCAACUUCAUCGAGAAAAUCCUUCCCGACAAGUGCGACAAUAUUCGUUCGCGUAGUGUCUCUGGAGGAUCAAUAUGCAGACAAGAAAAGAGCAAAAAUAAUUUCGGUGAAAAAGUGAUGGUGAGCAAAGAGGUGACGGGGCGAGGUUGACGUUCAUACAAACGGCGCCGUAGGGCUCCCAAUGGGCUACGAGAGAAAAAGAGAAAUAUAAAAAGUAUGUUGCAUUGGAAACGCUCGCCAGGUCGGUCGGUGAAACUCUCUUCCUACUUCCAAUUGAGCUUCAAUAAUUCGUGGCCUUGCGCCAGGAGUCCAAUACUCCUGGGUAAAACUAGUUGUCGUCACAUUGAGGGUAAAAUUUGAUGGUGCAGAAAAGAGAAGAGGUAUUGAA